rnacentral:rRNA from 1 species
GACGUAGGGGGCCAGCGUUGCUCGGAAUUACUGGGCGUAAAGGGUCCGUAGGCGGUGCGGUAAGUCGGGAGUGAAAUCUCUGGGCUUAACUCAGAGGCUGCUUCCGAAACUACCGUGCUAGAGUGCGAGAGAGGCAAGUGGAAUUGCGGGUGUAGCGGUGAAAUGCGUAGAUAUCCGCAGGAACAUCCGAGGCGAAAGCGGCUUGCU